AUCCCAUGUUGAAGACACUUCCUCAACUACUCCUUAUACCACUCCCAUGCUUCGUAUGAAGUUUCAGACUCCAUCUGCUAAAAAGAAGAUAUAUCAUUUUUGAGCUU